AACGCUAGCUACAGGCUUAACACAUGCAAGUCGCGGGGUAACAUCUGGGAGAGCUUGUUCUUCCAGGAUGACGACCGGCGCACGGGUGAGUAACGCGUAUCCAACCUGGCCCAUACCACGGGAUAGCCCGUCGAAAGGCGGAUUAAUACCGUAUGCUGUCAUCAAGAUGCAUAUAUUGAUGACGAAAGGACUGGCGGUAUGGGAUGGGGAUGCGUCUGAUUAGCUUGUUGGCGGGGUAACGGCCCACCAAGGCGACGAUCAGUAGGGGUUCUGAGAGGAAGGUCCCCCACAUUGGAACUGAGACACGGUCCAAACUCCUACGGGAGGCAGCAGUGAGGAAUAUUGGUCAAUGGGCGCAAGCCUGAACCAGCCAAGUAGCGUGAGGGAAGACUGCCCUACGGGUUGUAAACCUCUUUUGUUUGGGAAUAAAGUGCGGGACGUGUCCCGCAUUGCAUGUACCAUUUGAAUAAGGACCGGCUAAUUCCGUGCCAGCAGCCGCGGUAAUACGGAAGGUCCGGGCGUUAUCCGGAUUUAUUGGGUUUAAAGGGAGCGCAGGCCGUGGGUUAAGCGUGUCGUGAAAUUCCGUCGCUCAACGGCGGACGUGCGGCGCGAACUGGUCCACUUGAGUACGCGGGACGUUGGCGGAAUUCGUGGUAUAGCGGUGAAAUGCUUAGAUAUCACGAAGAACUCCGAUUG
rnacentral:rRNA from 1 species